rnacentral:rRNA from 1 species
AUUGAACGCUGGCGGCAUGCCUUACACAUGCAAGUCGAACGGUAGGGGGAGCAAUCCCCUGAGAGUGGCGAACGGGUGAGUAAAGCAUCGGAACGUGCCCAGUUGUGGGGGAUAACUACUCGAAAGAGUGGCUAAUACCGCAUACGACCUGAGGGUGAAAGCGGGGGACCGAAAGGCCUCGCGCAGUUGGAGCGGCCGAUGUCAGAUUAGCUAGUUGGGGGGGUAAAGGCCCACCAAGGCGACGAUCUGUAGCUGGUCUGAGAGGACGACCAGCCACACUGGGACUGAGACACGGCCCAGACUCCUACGGGAGGCAGCAGUGGGGAAUUUUGGACAAUGGGCGCAAGCCUGAUCCAGCCAUGCCGCGUGCAGGAAGAAGGCCUUCGGGUUGUAAACUGCUUUUGGCAGGGAAGAAAUCCCUUGGGUUAAUACCUCGGGGGGAUGACGGUACCUGAAGAAUAAGCACCGGCUAACUACGUGCCAGCCGCCGCCGUAAUAC